rnacentral:rRNA from 1 species
UACGUAGGGGGCAAGCGUUGUCCGGAAUCAUUGGGCGUAAAGAGCGUGUAGGCGGUCCGGUAAGUCCGCUGUAAAAGUCAAGGGCUCAACCCUUGAAAGCCGGUGGAUACUGCCGGGCUAGAGUCCGGAAGAGGCGAGUGGAACUCCUGGUGUAGCGGUGAAAUGCGCAGAUAUCAGGAGGAACACCGAUGGCGAAGGCAGCUCGCUGGGACGGUACUGACGCUGAGGCGCGAAAGCGUGGGGAGCAAACAGG